CCUACGGGAGGCAGCAGUGGGGAAUAUUGGACAAUGGGCGAAAGCCUGAUCCAGCCAUGCCGCGUGUGUGAAGAAGGCCUUCGGGUUGUAAAGCACUUUCAGUGGGGAAGAAAGCCUUGGGGCUAAUACCCUCGAGGAAGGACAUCACCCACAGAAGAAGCACCGGCUAACUCCGUGCCAGCAGCCGCGGUAAUACGGAGGGUGCGAGCGUUAAUCGGAAUUACUGGGCGUAAAGCGCGCGUAGGCGGUCUGAUAAGCCGGUUGUGAAAGCCCCGGGCUCAACCUGGGAACGGCAUCCGGAACUGUCAGGCUAGGGUGCAGGAGAGGAAGGUAGAAUUCCCGGUGUAGCGGUGAAAUGCGUAGAGAUCGGGAGGAAUACCAGUGGCGAAGGCGGCCUUCUGGACUGACACUGACGCUGAGGUGCGAAAGCGUGGGUAGCAAACAGGAUUAGAUACCCCUGUAGU
rnacentral:rRNA from 1 species